GCUUCUUGGGAUAGCUCAGUCAGCAGAGCAUGAGACUCUCAAUCUCAAGGUUGUGGGUUUGAGCCCCACGCUGGGCA